rnacentral:lncRNA from 1 species
AUGUGCCUCUUUCUGCUAGUUAUUUUCUCUCUCAUCAGCGCCAGUGCAGCUGAGGUGUCGCCAGCAACGACACAAGAGUUUCGUCGAUACUUUCCCCAGUGGGUUAACGCCAGUCAAGUUCAAGUCAGCUGUAACAACACCCUGAUCGCACAGCACUGUGAUCCUGAUCAGAGCUGUCGAAACACGAGUAAGCCCGGAGUCUCGCUGGAAAAGGACAGGGAGAGAGUAUGCCUAACCAUCACCAACUGCUCCUAUGAUUCGUGGUCCUGCGAAGCACGGAGUUACAUCGAUGGUGAAGAAUUUGGGGAGAAUGUUACCGUGAACGUGACGUGCAACCAACCUACCAGCACUUUGCUCAGUCCAGGCAAGUCACAUUCAGAGCCUCCUGCAGCUGGGGUCACUGUGCCAAUCAUCAUCUUGCUGUUAAUCAUCGUGCUGUUAAUCAUCGUGCUGAUCAUUAUCGUGCUGAUCAUUAUCGUGCUGAUCAUUAUCGUGCUGAUCAUCAUCGGGCUGAUCAUCAUGCUUUGCAUCUGUUACAAGAAGAGGACUCCUAACGAAGUGCAGGACACUGAGUCGGAAGAGAGGCAUAAUUUCCUCGAAUCAGAAAACGUGGUGUGAAGUAAUGAUUAAGAAAACCGUGCUCCGGGAAUACAACUUGGAGGACUCUUCUGCCACCUCAGUUCAAAUAUGAUGUGCAAUAGUUAAGUGACAUCCUGGCAUACAAGGCCGUCAACAGACCAUUGUCUUGUUGUAGAGGUCUGCAUGAGAGGUCAUCCCACCUGUACUCGGCUAUCAAAAUCUGUGCCACACUGUUGGGUCAGAUCCCAUGGACGUGCCUUCGAACCUAGAACAGGGUUUUUCUACAUUUCAUGUUUACCUUUGAAACAAAGUCAUGAUAAGCUAAAGUACAUUUUACUCUGUAUAAGAGUGUCUUGCAAAUACUUCUGUUUAUAUAUACUGUGUAUUACUGUAUUAUUAGUUUUGUAAUCAGUAUAGAGACAGUAUUGUAAUUUUGUGCCAUCCUGAGGAGGAGGGCUUCCCUAGCUGAACAUCUCUCAAGGUUUAUGCCUCUUUAACUAAACCUUUUGGGGAGUUUUUUUCUUGCACUGUCACCUUUGGCUUCUUCACUGGGUGACACAAAGACCACAGUAUGUAUUUAAGAAGUGCUGCUUAAAAUGUAUUUGUAAAUAUUCUGUAUUUUAGUUUAUGGUGCUCUAAAUUAUCUUAAUUAACUUAAUGCUUGCACAUUUGUAUUGUAAAAUAAAAAUUAUUGAAGAAAAAUAUUUUUUGUUGGAUGAUUGACUUGAUAUACGGACUAGAUUUUCAAAUUCUCAAGAAAAUGUAAUUAUUUUACUAUGAAGGUUGCAGGUGUGAUAAACUUUUGUUUUAUUGUGAUACAAAUGUUAAAGAUUCUGCAAAAAUAUCAAAAAUCUACUGAUAAAAGGCUUAAAUAUACACAUUUCUAUCGCAUUUAAUUGUUAGUAUUGUUCUGUUUGCCACUGGAGAAUACAAACCACUAGACCACUUCCUGCUCCACUGGCACUGCUUUUCAUUUUAAGGGUUUUAAUUUCAUUGAACUGCAUUCUUUUGUAAAGAAAGAUAGCUUUGAUGUGAAUUCUAAGAUAACUCUGAUAUACAGUUAAUUUGAGUACUUGUAGGGAAAAAUGACUCCAUUAUUAAAGCUGCUUUGACACAACCAGUACAGUAUAAAGCGUUAUACAAAUAAAGGUGACUUGACUCGUCACUAAAGCCCCAUAUGCAUUCUACAGUACAGGUCAAAAGUUUGGAAACAUUACUAUUUUUAAUGUUUUUGAAAGAAGUCUCUUCUGCUCAUCAAGCCUGAAUUUAUUUGAUCA